rnacentral:lncRNA from 1 species
UAUCCCAACUUGUAUAGAACUGUUGUACAUCCACACUUCUUAAGGUCAGAUGAAAAUACUGAAUGAGAAUGCAGUUUGGCUUCUCAGGAUUACAAUCUGGGUUCGACAAAGCCCUAGCUAUCCACACUGGUUGUAUUUCACCAUCUGCAGGUCGAAUUGCAACAAAAUAUCCUUCUCGAACAUCUCGACCUAUCCUAAAAGAUGGUUGUGGGCGACCUCUCAGAGGACCAACAUAUGGAUCAUCUUCUCCAAAUUCCUCAUGAUCCUUGCCAUCAUCUG